GGGCCACUACCCUGAAAACACAAUGUAGCGCUGCACUUGGGUGGAGUGGUGAUGAUUGUAGCAGCGGUAAAGCAGCGAUUACAAUGUUGAUAGCUCCAAGAAAAAUAUAUUUUCUUUGAUGAGGUUAAAAAAGAUUUCUUCGAACCAGCAAUAUGUAGGAGUGAAUCGGGAAAUGUUUUUCUCGGGAGGAGACAUGGAGAAGAUGUAAAACAAUUUCUUCAGAGUAGCAGUAAAAGACAGAUUCCCAGUAGCUUGUGAUUUUGGAGAUGCAUCAACCAGUCCAAUGAUGAUAUAGCACUCUGUUCAAAGUUGAAGAAAAAGAGAAGAAAGACCACUUUUCAACUGCUCAGGAUCAAUGUUUCUUUGAAGUUAAACUUUCUUUUGCUUUCUUCAAGUAAAAAAGCUGUUUCCCUUUAUGCAACUGUUGAAUUUUUCACAGAGCAGUACUUUCUGGCAGGGGUGGCUUGAUCUUUUGUUGCCUGCAGAUCUUGCAUUAAUGCUUCCUUGAUUUUGGGCAAUUACACGAGGCAUUCUCUGAGCUAAGAUGAUCUUUGUUCUAAGCUCGUCCACCUGCACAAUUACAUGGCGUUAAGGGACCCUCGUUGAAUUCCAGCUAGAUUUUGGAAGCAGCCUCUCACAGGGAUGAGAGGCUUCCUUGCUGCAAAUAUGCUUGGCCUCUUACAC
rnacentral:lncRNA from 1 species